rnacentral:rRNA from 1 species
AUGCAGCCAUGCCGCGUGUGUGAAGAAGGCCUUAGGGUUGUAAAGCACUUUCAGCGAGGAGGAAGGCGUUGUAGUUAAUAGCUGCAACGAUUGACGUUACUCGCAGAAGAAGCACCGGCUAACUCCGUGCCAGCAGCCGCGGUAAUACGGAGGGUGCAAGCGUUAAUCGGAAUUACUGGGCGUAAAGCGCACGCAGGCGGUUUGUUAAGUCAGAUGUGAAAUCCCCGAGCUUAACUUGGGAACUGCAUUUGAAACUGGCAAGCUAGAGUCUUGUAGAGGGGGGUAGAAUUCCAGGUGUAGCGGUGAAAUGCGUAGAGAUCUGGAGGAAUACCGGUGGCGAAGGCGGCCCCCUGGACAAAGACUGACGCUCAGGUGCGAAAGCGUGGGGAGCAAACAGGAUUAGAUACCCUG